GACCAGAACGAUGUCGUGCAAGCCCGGAAAGUGUACGACCUGCAGAGUGAUAUUGUGUACAGGUCUGACCUGCAGUGGCUGAAAGGCAUUGGCUGGUCCCCAAUUGGGUCCCUGGAUGAAGAGAAGAACAAGCGAGCGAGCACGAUCCUGAGUGACAAGAAGUACCGGCAGCACCCGGACACCAUCAAGUUCACGAGCCUUCCUGACUCCAUGCCUAUGCUUCUGGCAAAGCACAACUCUGAAAUCAUGAACCACCGCUCGUACAUCGCAGCCUGGGAGAAAGACAAGACCAGCAUUCACAUUAUGCCAGAUACGCCUGGUAUUUUGCUGGCCCAGCAGAACAAAGUGAACUUCAGUGAGAAAAUGUACAGGCUGGCAAUGGAAGAAGACAAGAAGAAGGGCUAUGACCUGCGUGCAGAUGCCAUUCCCAUCAAGUCUGC